AUUGAACGCUGGCGGCAGGCCUAACACAUGCAAGUCGAACGAGUGGCGGACGGGUGAGUAAUGUCUGGGAAACUGCCUGAUGGAGGGGGAUAAAUACUGGAAACGGUAGCUAAUACCGCAUACCAUCAGAUGUGCCCAGAUGGGAUUAGCUUGUUGGUGGGGUAACGGCUCACCAAGGAGAAGAUCCCUAGCUGGUCUGAGAGGCUGACCGGCCACACUGGAACUGAGACACGGUCCAGACUCCUACGGGAGGCAGCAGUGGGGAAUAUUGCACAAUGGGCGAAAGCCUGAUGCAGCAAUGCCGCGUGAAUUAAGAAGGCCUUCGGGUUGUAAAGUACUGUCAGCGGGGAGGCGUUACCCAAAGAAGAAGCCCCGUCUAACGCCGUGCCAGCAGCCGCGGUAAUUC
rnacentral:rRNA from 1 species